rnacentral:rRNA from 1 species
UAUAAGAGUAAAUUUUAAAACUGAUUGAUUAAUAGUUAUGAUCUUUAAAGUUAAAUAAUUUGGCGGUAUUUUAGUCUUUUCAGAGGAACCUGUUUUAUAAAUGAUAAUCCACGAUUAGGUAGUCUUAAAUUAGAAAUUUAUAUAUCAUCGUUAUUAAAUAUUUUUGUAGAAUUAAAUAUUUAUAAAAUUAAAUUAUAUUUUAAUUCAGAUCAUGGUAUAGUUUAUAUUUAAGUAGUAAUGGGUUACAAUAUUAAUAAAUUUGGAUUUUUAAUUUAAAAUUUGAAUGAAAUUGGAUUUGAAAGUAAUUAUUAUUUAAGAAUAAUGAUUUAGCUCUAAAAUAUGC